UGGUGGAGUGAUUUGUCUGGUUAAUUCCGAUAACGAACGAGACUAGAGCUUACUUAAUAGAUUGCAGAAUUCCAAAAGAGUGAAGCGUAUCAGGUUUGCGGGGUUUACUCCGUAGGCUUGGUGCGUGGAUCUCGGGCUAAUUUUGCAAGGCUUCUUAGAAGGACUAUCGGCGGUAAGUCGAAGGAGGUUUCUAGCAAUAACA
rnacentral:rRNA from 1 species